AAGCAACCCGUUAGCGAUGUUGAUGGUUUCACAGAAGCAGCGGUUCGCAAUUCCAUCUACGACAUGAUCCAACACAAUAUUGUAAGCAGUUACGCUUCAAGCGCUUUUGCAAGUUCUAAAAGAAAAAAACGAAUUUAAAGGGUCCAAAAGUUCCUUAAGAAAUGUUGUUGCGAAUAUUGGUCUCUGCUAUCAAAAAGAUAAUCCAAGACCCAAUAUUGCACCACCAAGGGUCCCAUUUUUUAGAUGCAUGAAACGUGGAUAUUUGAAAAUGGAACAAUACGAGUAUGUCAGUAAUGGCAAGACUACAGUGCAAAAACGUACGAAAAAUUAAACCCGAAGGAUUAUUAAUUAUUAACCAGAGCAAUAUCAUCAUAUAACUAUUUAAGAUCCGUGGUUUUACAUGCCGGAAACAUGAAUGAUUUUAUUACGGAAGCAGGGACAUCUUGUGGCUCGUCAGUGUUUUUUUCAAACACUAGCUCGCCAUAAAAAAUAUCACUUUAGCUCUUUAUAAUAUAGCAUAUGCUAUUGUUUACGUAGGUAGAUACAAUUAAUACACUUGACAGAUCAACCGUGGAUCCAGAAAGAAAGUUCGGGGAAGGUAGCGUAGGUGGACGGUUGAGCUUCCCA